CGCCAGACUCCUACGGGAGGCAGCAGUGGGGAAUAUUGCACAAUGGGGGAAACCCUGAUGCAGCGACGCCGCGUGAGCGAUGAAGUAUUUCGGUAUGUAAAGCUCUAUCAGCAGGGAAGAAAAUGACGGUACCUGACUAAGAAGCCCCGGCUAACUACGUGCCAGCAGCCGCGGUAAUACGUAGGGGGCAAGCGUUAUCCGGAUUUACUGGGUGUAAAGGGAGCGUAGACGGCAUGGCAAGUCAGAUGUGAAAGCCCGGGGCUCAACCCCGGGACUGCAUUUGAAACUGUCAGGCUGGAGUGCAGGAGAGGUAAGUGGAAUUCCUAGUGUAGCGGUGAAAUGCGUAGAUAUUAGGAGGAACACCAGUGGCGAAGGCGGCUUACUGGACUGUAACUGACGUUGAGGCUCGAAAGCGUGGGGAGCAAACAGGAUUAGAUACCCGGGUA
rnacentral:rRNA from 1 species